rnacentral:rRNA from 1 species
AUGGACGCUGGCGGCGUGCCUAAUACAUGCACGUCGCGCGCACGGACGAGAAGCUUGCUUCUCUGAUGUUAGCGGCGGACGGGUGAGUAACACGUGGAUAACCUACCUAUAAGACUGGGAUAACUUCGGGAAACCGUAGCUAAUACCGGAUAAUAUUUUGAACCGCAUGGUUCAAAAGUGAAAGACGGUCUUGCUGUCACUUAUAGAUGGAUCCGCGCUGCAUUAGCUAGUUGGUAAGGCAACGGCUUACCAAGGCAACGAUGCAUAGCCGACCUGAGAGGGUGAUCGGCCACACUGGAACUGAGACACGGUCCAGACUCCUACGGGAGGCAGCAGUAGGGAAUCUUCCGCAAUGGGCGAAAGCCUGACGGAGCAACGCCGCGUGAGUGAUGAAGGUCUUCGGAUCGUAAAACUCUGUUAUUAGGGAAGAACAUAUGUGUAAGUAACUGUGCACAUCUUGACGGUACCUAAUCAGAAAGCCACGGCUAACUACGUG